UGAAAUAAACUUAAUACAUACAUACCAGUUCUCGUCUGAUCACUGAAGUCAAGCAACGUUGAGCACGGUUAGUACUUAGACGGGUGACCGCUUGGGAACACCGUGUGAUGUCUCGC
rnacentral:rRNA from 1 species